UUUAGAGUAAAUUCAGAGUAAAAGAAGGUUAAUACCAGUCUUCUACAGCAAAAUGUCUGCUCAGUUUGAAAGUGUCAACAAUCCCAUGCCACUGGAGUCCAUGAUCAGAAAUGAAGUACUGUAUUACGAUAAUGACGUUGUCAUUACGGGCAUAUCAGGCCGUUUGCCCGAGUCAUCUAAUAUCGAAGAGUUUAAGGAGAAUCUAAUGAAGGAAGUGGACAUGGUCAAUGAUGACGAGCGCCGUUGGCCAAAAGGUCUUUAUGGGCUACCAACCAGAUGUGCCAAAAUUAAGGACCUCAGUAAGUUUGAUGCCAAUUUUUUCGGAAUACAUCCCAAGCAGGCUCAUCGAAUGGACCCGAUGCUUCGAAAAAUGUUAGAAGUCACCUACGAGGCGAUAAUUGAUGCUGGCAUCAACCCCACGACCGUGAGAGGAUCGCGUACGGGUGUAUUCGUCGGUAUCUCUUUCUCAGAAUCUUAUGAAUUUUGGAUGAGAGAUUCAGAGGACAUAAAUGAAUACACUAUGCUCGGAAGUGCUAAAUCAAUGUUUGCCAACAGAGUCUCAUUUUCAUUUGAUUUUAAUGGACCUAGUUACUCACUAGAUACCGCUUGUUCCUCGUCUAUGUACGGGAUUCAUCACGCUGUGAGCGCAAUACGCGCCGGCGAGUGCGAUGCUGCUAUCGUCGGUGGACUGAAUCUCAUCUUAAACCCGCAUACCUCACUUCAAUUUCACAAAUUGAAUAUGCUGUCUCAGGAUGGCAAAUGCAAAGCAUUUGAUGCUACGAGUGCCGGUUACGCGAGGGCUGAAGCGGUAGUGGCAAUAUAUUUGCAGAAAGCAAAGAAUGCGCGUAGAGUGUACGCGACGGUAAUUCGAACAAAGACAAAUAUCGACGGCUACAAACCCCAGGGUAUUACGUAUCCCAAUGGUGAAAAGCAGAUUCAAUUGAUGCGUGAUAUUUAUAACGAGGCAGGGAUUAAUCCCGCGGACGUGAGUUACGUGGAAGCUCAUGGUACUGGUACGGAAGUAGGUGAUCCAGAGGAAGUAAAUUCUAUCGACAAGUUAUUCUGCAAAGACAGAAAAAAACCCUUGCUAAUUGGUUCGGUUAAAUCUAACAUGGGUCACUCGGAAGCAGCCAGCGGAUUAUGUUCGAUCGCCAAGGUAUUGAUCGCGAUGGAAGCAGGUGUGAUACCGGCGAAUUUGCACUUUAGUACUCCGAAUCCAAACAUUCUUGCCUUAAAGGAGGGGCGUAUUCGAGUGGUCGACAAGGCCACACCGUGGAACGGUGGUCUUGUAGGCAUCAACUCGUUUGGCUUCGGCGGUGCAAACGCGCAUGUUAUUCUCCGUAGCAAUCCAAAACCAAAACUAUCACCGCUAUUGAAGAUCACCGAAUUGUUGCCGAAAUUGGUUGCUGUAUCGGGUCGAACCAAAGAAGCUGUACACAGCAUAUUAGAUCAAGCAACGAAGCAUCGUAAUGACGACGAAUUUCUUUCGCUACUACACUUAAUACACAAUAACGAUAUUUCCGGGCAUGAGAUUCGAGGUUACGAAAUACUUAACGUCAAUAAUACACGAGAAGUGACGGAAAAAACAAAUUAUAAAGAGAGGCGACCUAUUUGGUUUGUAUUUGCCGGUAUGGCUACGCAAUGGCCAGGAAUGGGUCAUGGAUUGUUCGGCAUUGAAACUUUUCAACGUAGUUUACGACGAUGCGCGGACGCGUUGACGCCCUACGGCAUAGACCUUAUGAAUAUCAUUAUGAACGCCACAGACAAGACGUUGGACAUAGUGAAUUCUUACGUGUCUAUCGUGGCUAUACAGGUCGCCUUUGUGGAUCUUUUAACGUCGAUGGGUAUAUUACCAGACGGUAUAGUCGGAUACUCCGUUGGAGAAUUAAGUUGUGCUUAUGCUGAUGGCGCGUUUACACUAGAGCAGACUGUCUUAGCGGCUUACUUUAGAGGCAAAGCAAUUAUGGAUUCCAGGUUAAAACCGGGUGCUAUGGCGUUACUUGGUUUAAGUUGGAAGGAGGCCAAAAAAAUGUGCCCACCCGAUAUCAUUCUAGCUGGUCACAACGCCGUAGACUCAGUCGCUAUUGCCGGUCCAACUGAGUCUAUACAAAAGUUUAUACAUAGGCUAAAAAGCAAAGACAUCUUCGCCAAGAUAGUGAUAAAUUGCCCCUUCGCUUUUCACAGCAAAUACAUUGCCUCAGUCGGACCAAUGCUACAAACUUUUCUUAACAAGAUCAUUCCGAAUCCGAAGCAGAGAUCAGCUAGAUGGAUUUCCAGUUCCAUACCUGAAGCUGAAUGGGGCAGUCCGCUCGCGCAAUCUAGCUCGGCUGCAUAUCAUGUAAACAAUUUUCUGUCUCCUGUGUUUUUUAAAGAAGCAAUCGCGUAUAUUCCAGAGAAUGCGAUAACAAUCGAAAUUUCACCGAGCUGUUUGCUACAGGCAAUUUUGCGCAGAGCGUUGCCACCAACGGUGACUAAUAUCGCCCUCCACAAACGAUAUCAUUCUGACAAUCUGACCUUUCUACUGUCUAAUUUGGGUAAAUUGUAUAUGGCUGGUGCGCAACCUGAUAUCUUCAAAUUAUAUCCGCCAAUAAGUUUUCCAGUUGGCCGAGGGACACCGAUGAUUGGGUCCUUAGUCGAGUGGGACCAUUCCACUGCUUGGGAUGUAGCUAAUUUCAGUCAGAUAUGAAGCCAUUUGGGAAAGUGUGUAGUUAAAAUAGAUCUGUCGAAAGAAAAAGACGCAUAACUAAUUGGACAUCAGAUAAACGGACAAGUUCUUUUUCCAGCCUCUGGCUAUAUUCUUUUAGUAUGGAAAACUUUAGCGAAACUGGAUUUUGAAGCACCGAUUUUGAACGAUUGCUGGUGGUAUUCGAGAAUUUGCAAUUUCAGCGAGCCAUUAUUAUGCCAAAAGAUGGAACGGUGAAAUUCUUGAUAAAUAUUUUCGAGGGAACCGGCGACUCUAAAAUCUGUGAAGCUGGUACAUUCGUCGUCAGCGGAAACGUCUACGCGUUCGAGACUAUCAAUUCGCGGAAAGAUUAAUUGGAGUUGCCGCCACCACCAAUACCGCCUAUUAACAAAGAGAUUUUGCCAUUGAACGCUAAAGAUAUUUAUAAGGAAAUGAGGUUGUGCGGGUAUGAGUAUUGCGAUAUCUUUCAAGGAAUUAAAUAAUUACGGCGUUGUCAAUCAACUGUACCGAUUCAAUCAAUGGAUCCCGUAUAUAGAUAUUAUAUUUCAGUUUAACAUAAUGUUUUCUAACUAUAGACUACUGUAUUUACCGACGCGUCUUCAAUACGCCACGAUUGAUUCCGUUCUUCAUAAACGACUAGCGGAAGAAUUGCCAGAAGAUGGUGGAUUACCGGUAUAUUACUAUAAGAACAUCGAUAUUGUUAAAUUUGGUAUUGAGCUCAGAAAAGUAAAAUUUUCUGUAGCACCUCGACGGCAGAAACCUUUUUAAACUGAAGAUUAGUGAUUAAUGUGCUUGUACGUGUAUGUUUUGUACACUACCUACCAUUUUUUUGAUGCUACUUUGACCAACAUGUUUAUGAAGUAUGUAAUCACAUAAGUAGUAGUUGAAAUCAGCGACUCAGUGAUGCGGGAAUCUACAAAUUUCGUGAGAAGGCAAAUUAGGAUGUCAUACACGAUUAUGCAAUAGUGCUUCUUCUUUUUUCGGUAAAGAUACCUGAUCCCUGAAGCGUCCAAUUUGAUCAUAUUUUAUUUCUUAAAUGUAUAUACAUAUAAUACAGAACAAGUUUGUCUCAAUAAAAAAUGUUUAUUAUCUACAAAAAACAUUUUUUCAAAUAUUUUAGUAAAAUAAUAUUUAUAUAACAACACAAAUUAAUAUUGGUGAAUUUUUGCAAUAAAUUGAAAAGAUACUUUGAAACUUACUAAAUUAGUUUACUAAAUUAUUUUAUUAAAAUCGUUAUCUGUAAGUACAUAACGUCAGCCGAUAUUUUAGUUAGGUGAAACACAUCCUGCAUACCUUGUUUAACUAAAUUUAUUUUAGAUUAUGCGAAACUGUUUCUGAAAAAAAAAAUUCUUUUUUCAAAAGAAUUUUCUUUUCUAAAUAUCACGAGGUUUUCCAUCUUAUACGUAAUAUAGUAACAAGAAAGUAAAAUGAUAUUCAUCCUAAACUUAUAAAGAAGUUAAUCAAAAUUUGCCAUUCCAAUAGAAAAGAACCUUAGUAAAUGAGUUCUCUCAUGGAUAUGAGAGAACUCAUUUACUAAGGUUUUUCUAUAUUGGAACAAAGUAGUUGGCAUAGUGCAGCUAAACCAGUGAAGAAAUUUUGGAAUUCCCUCCACCGGCCAAAAAGUUCCUAUGAUUUUGUUAUGUAUCUAAAUGAAUCCUUGAAUAAGUUAUGUAUCUAAAUUAUGUACAUGUAAUAAAAGCUUGAUUAAAGUGAAACAAUUUUUUGCAA